rnacentral:snRNA from 1 species
ACUCCGAUACAAAGUGGGAUCU